GAUGAACGCUAGCGACAGGCUUAACACAUGCAAGUCGAGGGGCAGCAUGGUUUGUAGCAAUACAAACUGAUGGCGACCGGCGCACGGGUGAGUAACGCGUAUGCAACUUACCUAUCAGAGGGGGAUAGCCCGGCGAAAGUCGGAUUAAUACCCCAUAAAACAGGGGUCCCGCAUGGGAAUAUUUGUUAAAGAUUUAUUGCUGAUAGAUAGGCAUGCGUUCCAUUAGGCAGUUGGCGGGGUAACGGCCCACCAAACCGACGAUGGAUAGGGGUUCUGAGAGGAAGGUCCCCCACAUUGGUACUGAGACACGGACCAAACUCCUACGGGAGGCAGCAGUGAGGAAUAUUGGUCAAUGGCCGAGAGGCUGAACCAGCCAAGUCGCGUGAAGGAAGAAGGAUCUAUGGUUUGUAAACUUCUUUUAUAGGGGAAUAAAGUGAGGGACGUGUC
rnacentral:rRNA from 1 species